AGUUCAGCAAUAGACACCGAAGUAGACUGAUGCUACAGAACGACAAGAGGGGAUUUUCAUCAUUUAAGAAUCCUCUUUACUGUGAGUUGAUCUUCACAAGAAGAGCUGGUCAGGCCUACUGCUGCCAUGGAGAAGUAUGAACCAGAGGUGAAACACCUCCACCAGACAGCCGCGUCCUGCCGCCACCUCCCUGCUGCACGAUCCCACCGAACAGGAGCUGCUGAAGGCCACAGAAGAGGACGAAGCCUCCCAGCAGCCCAACU